rnacentral:rRNA from 1 species
GACGUAGGGAGCAAGCGUUGUCCGGAAUCAUUGGGCGUAAAGCGCGCGUAGGUGGCCAUUUAAGUCCGCUGUGAAAGUCAAAGGCUCAACCUUUGAAAGCCGGUGGAUACUGGAUGGCUAGAGUACGGAAGAGGCGAGUGGAAUUCCUGGUGUAGCGGUGGAAUGCGCAGAUAUCAGGAGGAACACCAAUAGCGAAGGCAGCUCGCUGGGACGUUACUGACACUGAGGCGCGAAAGCGUGGGGAGCGAACAGG